rnacentral:rRNA from 1 species
AAAACGUAACAAGGUUUCCGUAGGUGAACCUGCGGAAGGAUCAUUUCAGUAUUCUUUUUGCCAGCGCUUUAUUGCGCGGCGAAAAAACCUUUCACACUAUGUUUUUUGUUUUUUCAAGAACUAUUGCUUUGGUCUGUCUCUAGAAAUAGAUUUGGGCCAGAGGUUUUACUAAACUUCAAUUUUUUAUUGAAUUGUUUUUUAUUUUAUUGUCAAUUUGUUGAUUUAUUUCAAAAAAUCUUCAAAACUUUCAACAACGGAUCUCUUGGUUCUCGCAUCGAUGAAGAACGCAGCGAAAUGCGAUAAGUAAUAUGAAUUGCAGAUUUUCGUGAAUCAUCGAAUCUUUGAACGCACAUUGCGCCCUCUGGUAUUCCAGAGGGCAUGCCUGUUUGAGCGUCAUUUCUCUCUCAAACCCUUGGGUUUGGUAUUGAGUGAUACUCUUUGUCGAACUAGGCGUUUGCUUGAAAUGUAUCGGCAUGAGUAGUACUGAAUAGUGCUUCAAGACUUUUUCAAUGUAUUUGGUUUUUCCAACUCGUUGAAUGGUUUUGUAGUAAAUUUUUUGUAUUUUUGGCUCGGCCUUUCAACACAACAAACAAGUUUGACCUCAAAUCAGGUAGGACUACCCGCUGAACUUAAGCAUAUCAAAA